rnacentral:rRNA from 1 species
UAAAAAUGUAAAUUUGAUCUAAAUUAGUAUUAGUUAUGUUCUUGAAAUUUAAAGAUUUUGGCGGUAUUUUAGUCUUUUCAGAGGAAUCUGUCCUAUAAUUGAUAUUCCACGAUUAAAAUGAUUUAAUUUAGAAGUUUAUAUAUCGUUGUAGAUUGAAUGUUUUAUAAGAAUUUAAUGUUCAAAAUUUAAAUUUAAGUUAAAGUAAAUCAGAUCAAGAUGUAGCUUAUAAUUAAAAAGUGAUGGAUUACAUUUUUUUAAAAAGUGGAUAAUUUUUUUAAAAGAAAUUUAAAAUUGGAUUUGAAAGUAAUUAUUUUUAUAUUUUUAUAAUGAGUUAGUUCUAAAAUAUGC